rnacentral:rRNA from 1 species
UACGUAGGGACCAAGCGUUGUUCGGAUUUACUGGGCGUAAAGGGCGCGUAGGCGGCGCGGUAAGUCACUUGUGAAAUCUCUGAGCUUAACUCAGAACGGCCAAGUGAUACUGCAGUGCUAGAGUGUGGAAGGGGCAAUCGGAAUUCUUGGUGUAGCGGUGAAAUGCGUAGAGAAUCCGGAAGAACGACCGGUGGCGAGGCGGUCGAGCUGGCAUUGCUAGG